GAUCAAAGUGUAGUAUCUGUUCUUAUCAGCUUAAUAUCUGAUACGGUUCCCAUUGGGGACCAUGAUAUUAAACUUAUUUUUGUAAGGCGGCGGGGUGCUUGGAGCUUGCUCCACUCCUGCCACGGGUUGGC
rnacentral:snRNA from 1 species